rnacentral:rRNA from 1 species
GACGAACGCUGGCGGCGUGCUUAACACAUGCAAGUCGAACGGAAAGGCCCUGCUUUUGUGGGGUGCUCGAGUGGCGAACGGGUGAGUAACACGUGAGUAACCUGCCCUUGACUUUGGGAUAACUUCAGGAAACUGGGGCUAAUACCGGAUAGGAGCUCCUGCUUCAUGGUGGGGGUUGGAAAGUUUCGGCGGUUGGGGAUGGACUCGCGGCUUAUCAGCUUGUUGGUGGGGUAGUGGCUUACCAAGGCUUUGACGGGUAGCCGGCCUGAGAGGGUGACCGGCCACAUUAGGACUGAGAUACGGCCCAGACUCCUACGGGAGGCAGCAGUGGGGAAUAUUGCACAAUGGGCGGAAGCCUGAUGCAGCAACGCCGCGUGCGGGAUGACGGCCUUCGGGUUGUAAACCGCUUUCGCCUGUGACGAAGCGUGAGUGACGGUAAUGGGUAAAGAAGCACCGGCUAACUACGUG